rnacentral:misc_RNA from 1 species
GGAAGGAUCAUCACUGAUUCUCGGGGCAAGAGUGUUCCUGCACGCGCACACGUGUGUGUGUGUGGUGAGCGCACCCCAACCAAUCUUUUGUGCACGGUUUCACGGUCAACGAGGCGCCGCGCGUGUGUUGGCGAGUCCCCCCUCCCCAGUGUGGGGCUGGCUUGCCAACCGCAUGCGUCCGUGCGUUCUCUGCUGCAAUCUCUUGUGCAAUCUCUGUCUAACACGUUACCUAAAUUAACACAUAUACAACUUUCAACAAUGGAUCUCUUGGCUCUCGCAUCGAUGAAGAACGCAGCAAAUUGCGAAAAUUAAUGUGCAUUGCAGUACGUGAAUCAUCGAGUCUUUGAACGCAACUUGCACUCUAGGUUCUCCUAGAGUAUGCCUAUUUGAGUAUCGGUACACCCCACUCAAACCCCCUCGUGGUGGUUUGGAUCCGAUGAGUCAUGUGUGCGUGUGUCCCACACACACACACCGACUUGAAGUGUACACUGAAUCGGGCCUAUGUAUACUGUACAUGCGGCGCUGACGUGAUAGUCUCACAUGUUUGGGAACGCACUCGUCAGGUACACACAUGCCACGUGUCGGUCAUAGUGACCCAGUCACCACCCCACAUUCACACCAAUCUCGAUCUCAAAUUAGGUAGGACUACCCGCUGAAUUUAAGCAUAUCAAUAAGCGGAGGAAAAGAAACUAACAAGGAUUCCCCUAGUAACGGCGAGUGAAGCGGGAACAGCUCAAAUUUGAAAUCUGGCCUGGCACAUGCGCCGGGUCCGAGUUGUAAUUUACGGGUCCGCGUAUCGGUGACACGGGCUGGUAUAAUUUGCCUGGAAUGGCAAGUCAUAGAGGGUGAUAAUCCCGUCCAUGACCAGUCGCGUGCGCGCCACACGUUACACGGACGUAGAGUCGAGUUGUUUGGGAAUGCAGCUCAAAAUGGGAGGUAGAUUUCUUCUAAAGCUAAAUAACGGCGAGAGACCGAUAGCGAACAAGUACCGUGAGGGAAAGAUGAAAAGAACUCUGAAGAGAGAGUGAAACAGUACGUGAAAUUGUUGAAAGGGAAACGCUUGAAACCGCUAUGGCGCGCAUGCGCCUGCCAACAUCAGUUUGCGGCUGCGGUACACAAGGCCGUGGGAAAUGUAGGACCCGCUUCGGCGUGUCUGUUUAUAGUCCCGCGCGCACAUGCACUGCCCCGGACUGAGGUCUGCCGUCGCCUCGUGCGACGUAGGAUGUUGGCUGAAUGGUUUUAAUCGACCCGUCUUGAAACACGGACCAAGGAGUCUAACAUGUAUGCGAGUAUUUGGGUGAUGAAACCCACGUGCGCAAUGAAAGUAAAUCAAAGAUGGGAGGCGUGUCACACGCGCUGCACCAUCGACCGAACCCCUUACCGGGAUUUGAGUAGGAGCAUACAUGCUGGGACCCGAAAGAUGGUGAACUAUGCCUGAAUAGGGUGAAGCCAGAGGAAACUCUGGUGGAGGCUCGUAGCGAUUCUGACGUGCAAAUCGAUCGUCAAAUUUGGGUAUAGGGGCGAAAGACUAAUCGAACCAUCUAGUAGCUGGUUCCUGC